rnacentral:misc_RNA from 1 species
CACCAAUCAAGCCUGGCUUGGUGUUGGGCGACGGGACCCCCCCGCGCCCCCAUAUCUCCGGCUGGACGGUCUGAAUCUCAGCGUUGUGGCAACAGAGUCGCUUUGCAGGAGGACCGGACGCGCCGUUAAACCUUUACCACAGG